rnacentral:rRNA from 1 species
CCUACGGGUGGCUGCAGUGGGGAAUAUUGCACAAUGGGCGCAAGCCUGAUGCAGCCAUGCCGCGUGUGUGAAGAAGGCCUUCGGGUUGUAAAGCACUUUCAGCGGGGAGGAAGGCGUUAAGGUUAAUAACCUUGUCGAUUGACGUUACCCGCAGAAGAAGCACCGGCUAACUCCGUGCCAGCAGCCGCGGUAAUACGGAGGGUGCAAGCGUUAAUCGGAAUUACUGGGCGUAAAGCGCACGCAGGCGGUCUGUCAAGUCGGAUGUGAAAUCCCCGGGCUCAACCUGGGAACUGCAUUCGAAACUGGCAGGCUAGAGUCUUGUAGAGGGGGGUAGAAUGCCAGGUGUAGCGGUGAAAUGCGUAGAGAUCUGGAGGAAUACCGGUGGCGAAGGCGGCCCCCUGGACAAAGACUGACGCUCAGGUGCGAAAGCGUGGGGAGCAAACAGGAUUAGAUACCCGUGUAGUC